rnacentral:rRNA from 1 species
UACGUAGGGUGCUAGCGUUGUUCGGAAUUAUUGGGCGUAAAGCGCGUGUAGGCUGUUAGUUAAGUCUGGUGUGAAAUCCCUGGGCUCAACCGAGGAAGUGCAUCAGAAACUAGCUAGCUGGAAGAUGGUAGAGGGAGGUGGAAUUCCGAGUGUAGAGGUGAAAUUCGUAGAUAUUCGGAGGAAUACCGGUGGCGAAGGCGGCCUCCUGGACCAUUCUUGACGCUGAGACGCGAAAGCGUGGGGAGCAAAC